CACGUAGGAGGCGAGCGUUGUCCGGAAUCAUUGGGCGUAAAGAGCGCGCAGGCGGCUUGGCAAGUCGGGUGUGAAAUCCCGGGGCUCAACCCCGUGACUGCAUUCGAUACUGUCAGGCUAGAGGUAGGUAGGGGAGAUCGGAAUUCCUGGUGUAGCGGUGAAAUGCGCAGAUAACAGGAGGAACACCGGUGGCGAAGGCGGAUCUCUGGGCCUUACCUGACGCUCAGGCGCGAAAGCUAGGGGAGCGAACAGG
rnacentral:rRNA from 1 species